UUUAGAUUUUGUUUCUCUCUCUUGUUGAAGUUUCUUAACCUUCCCUUUGAAAACCCUAGCCGCCGCUAUCAUUCCGGCCGUCGCCCCCUCCGUCCAGUAAACUUUGACAAAAUAAAAUACAUAUUUUUUAUGCUCUCUUUUUCCUCUAUAUUUAUAUUAAAGUGUAUUUUAAAAAGGAACAAUCUUGAAAAUUAGUGGAUGUACAUUUUUCAACCUUCAACUGUUCACCUAUGAUGAAGCCAUGAACAACUCUCUCUACAGACCAACAACAAAGGAAUCAAAGACAUCAAAAGAAUAAAAAAAAUCAUAUCUAGUUUAAAUCUGUAUUUUUUUUGCAUCUUUGUGAGGUUCACACCAGAGCUCCGCCACAAAAGCUCCACUCCGGUCAACUUUGAACUCAUUCAUAUGACAUUCAUCAUUACUACCAUACCUUGCACCUCUACUGUGCAUUACUACCAUACCUGACUAAUCACAUGUCAUCAAAGAACAGUUGUAUGCUCAUUGAGACCCACAAAAUAAAAAAGUUCAUUGCAUCUCAUAUACCAAUGUAACCCAUAUCUCACUUUCAUUCUCCGUUUAUUUAUUUGCUCGUUGCUGAAGAGAUGAAGAUAAAAAAAUGGAGAAACAAAAAAAGUUAGAUGAUAAAGUGACAUGAUAUUAUUUAUGAAGAAAUUGCAUAAAAGCUAAAUGUGGAAGUUUUUUUUUUUCAUACCUU